AACGAACGCUGGCGGCAGGCUUAACACAUGCAAGUCGAACGCCCCGCAAGGGGAGUGGCAGACGGGUGAGUAACGCGUGGGAACAUACCCUUUCCUGCGGAAUAGCUCUGGGAAACUGGAAUUAAUACCGCAUACGCCCUACGGGGGAAAGAUUUAUCGGCAAAGGAUCGGCCCGCGUUGGAUUAGCUAGUUGGUGGGGUAAUGGCCUACCAAGGCGACGAUCCAUAGCUGGUCUGAGAGGAUGAUCAGCCACAUUGGGACUGAGACACGGCCCAAACUCCUACGGGAGGCAGCAGUGGGGAAUAUUGGACAAUGGGCGCAAGCCUGAUCCAGCCAUGCCGCGUGAGUGAUGAAGGCCUUAGGGUUGUAAAGCUCUUUCACCGGAGAAGAUAAUGACGGUAUCCGGAGAAGAAGCCCCGGCUAACUUCGUGCCAGCCGCCGCGGUAAGAC
rnacentral:rRNA from 1 species